rnacentral:rRNA from 1 species
CCUGCGGAUGGAUCACUGUCGG